AUAUAUAUAUAUAUGCAAAUGUUUCACAUUUAUAAUUAUCAGAAAGGUAAGCCCAAACUGAUCUCAGGUAUAUUUUUUUUUGUUUGUCUUUUUGUCUUUUUAGGGCCCACCCAUGGCAUAUAGAGGUUCCCAGGCUAGGGGUCCAAUCGGAGCUACAGCUGCCAGCCUACACCACAGGCACAGCAACGUGGGAUCUGGCGGCGUCUGCGACCUACACCACAGCUCCCGGCAACGCCAAAUCCUUAACCCACUGAGCGAGGCCAGGGAUUGAACCUGCAACCUCAUGGUUCCUAGUCAGAUUCGUUAACCACUGAGCCAAUGGGAACUCCCUGAUCUUGGGUAUCUUAAAGAUGCUCAAACUCAUUAAAAAUAUGAUAAAUACAAUGAAAACAAAAUAAUAAUUUACAUACAUGAGCUAAGCAAAAGGAAAUUACAGCAAAAGUUGUAAGCAAUAUGAGGAGAUGGGAAUGCUGGCAUGGUUGGUAAGAUUACAGCUAUUCUCAGCAACAUUCUGCAGAGCUUAUGAAAUUAGGUACCUGUACAAACUUCAGAAGGGACCAUCUGCACUGAGUGUGUGUAUAUGCUGAGUGUAGGUACAUGCUGAUUGUAUGUACAUCCUGUGCGUGUGUCCUGUGUCUUUGGACACCUUGAUUUAAGAGUGUGUUUGUCCCCGCCCACUCUGAGUACAUCCUUAAUGAGUAAGUCUUCAUUGGUCCUUAGCUCUGUGUCCCUCUCUGUAUGUAAGUAUGUGUACAUGCUGUGUAUGUAUACGUGCUUAUGAGCCUGGAUCCAUCCUUAAUGCCAUGUGUUCAUCCUUGCUAAGCAUGUGUGCCUGCUGAAUGGGACCCAGGAAGCUCACUUCUGCUACAGCACAGAGAAAUUCUUUCAUAGGUUCAUAAGAGGGCAUGUGAAGGUAUUCAUCACCUAGCAUAGCAGGGAGUUGGAGGCAAUCUAGUUGGAGAAUACCUAAGUAAAUGUGGAAGCUGCAGGUGGAAGCCACAAAUUAAUGGAUGCUAAUAGAAAUUGUAUUGAAGGAAUAAAGAAAGAAAUAGAGCAAUAUCGUUAAUAUAAACUCAAGACACAUACAAAGACACUAUAUUUGAAAAGAACAUAUGCAUAAGGAUAUAUCUAAAUAGUUAGAAUAGGUGCUUAGUGGGGUACAGGAAGAUGAAUGGGCAUCAGGAUCUAGGAUGAAGGAGGAAGGGAACAAACAGGAGAAGGGCCUCACAUCAGCAUGACCAUUUGCUCAUAUACACUCAGGGCCCUGCAUGGGCAGUAAGGAGGACACAGUUUGUGAUGAGCUGUGGCCCCGAUCAUGAGGCAUACAACUAACUCACCCUUUUGUAACUUACUCAAAGUGAGAACUGAAAACUAAAACUAGUAAGAGACGAUCAAACUGAAUUACAAAGCAUAGACAUUCACAAGUAGCAUAUGUUGAACCUAGAUGGCUGAGUGUAACAUUAUAAAGCUUUCUGAAGAUAUCCGAACUCAUCUUUACCAAAAAUUUUAUGAGAGGCAAUUCAGUCUAUCCUGACUAAAUACUUUAUUUUGUUUGCAUUUAGUUAGAAUGAUCUAAUCAUAAUUUCUACUCUGAUUUAAAUAUAUAUUUUUCCAAAUUGCAGUAAAUACACUUCACAAAGUCAUGUUCCUAGAUGGAAUUAAAUUACUUACCUUGGUAAUGGAGAGUCACCAGACAGAUGUAAAUGAGUUGUUAACAUGGCACUUCAUUGCCACAAUAAUUUAGAGCCACUAGUUAGCUUGAUGUGUCUGCAAUAAAUGUUUUAUUAUUUAGGAAAAAUACACUCUACAAGUUGCAAUGUGCCAUGCUCAUUCAUGCCGUAAAUCAACAAAGAUCAGCAGACUGAAUAGAAAAAUGAAAAGCUUAUUUAGAAACUGACAUAAGCUUUCAGAUGAGCAGGGAUGGUUGAAGUUAACUGCAUUCAUUUUUCUUUGCUUGUCAUAGUUGCCACUUGAAUUUCACUACUAGAGGUAGAAGAUAGUUUUGCUUUAUGAAAUUAUAUCCACAGAAACAGUGUCUGCAUUUAUAGAGAUACAGUCAUAAUAAAGUGGAAUAUAAAGAAGCCACACUAAAGGAAUAGUAGCCCCAAAUUUAUGGAGUGUGGGAUGGGAUUUGCUAAUCCACACCACUAGAUUCAGUGCAAUCGUUCUAUGGAGAUCAAAGCUCAUGUCGGAAACGUGACGUGACUUUACGUCCUGGGACAGUAGAGUAAUUGCCAGACAAGACUGUAAAACACCAUGUAGGUCAGCAUUUGUAAAGAAUCUCGUGAUUUUUUUUCCUAUUCGCUUUGUGCUCAUUUUGACAAGCUCAAAACCCCAGAAAAAUUAUUACUGCUUACACCCCCCGAAGUGCCAGCUGGGGUGAUGAGAUUAACACCGAUGACUGCACCGUGGUGCUCACCCUGAGAGCUCUCCCCUCCUCACUGAAGUAACCUAGAAAGGGCCAAUGUUGACUGCAGUUGGCAUUCUUGGUAUGCAAACAAUGAAGAGUAGACUCUUAGCUGUCUCCCGCCUUUGUGCCACAGAAGACAUUGUCCAGGGCUAUUGGAGUGGACAAGCCCCAGAUAAAUGACAUGCACCUGUCUUAGUGUUACCUUCAUCAUAACAUCAUAAUACAUCAAUUAAGUCCCUAGUUCUCACACAUUGCUUUAUAAAACACAUACAUGUAGUGACCCUUCUCUUUUUAAAGCCUCAGAGGAUUAGGCUAACCUGCUAACUGCCACGUUGAAAUGAACUCUUCUUGGAGGUAGAUUGUAGCAGAUGUGAGGACCUGGAGCCUACGUUGAAAAGAAAAAAAAAAGGAGCUUUAAUAUUGAUUUAUUUAUGAUGAUGAAAAGGAAUCAGAAUCCCUGGAAGGAAACAUUUAGGUUAUAAGGAAAACGUAGCUAGAUGGGAAGCACACAUGGGCAGUUCAGGCUGUAUGGUAAGGUCACGGAGUUCACAGGAGGCUCUUGUGGAAACCCAGGGAAAGACUCCAGAGAUGGAGGCGAGGUGUGAGAGGCCACGAGGAAACCCUGAUGAUAAGAGAAUUCAGCAGCAGAGCGGGACCUGUAUUGAGGGUGGGGCAGCGGUGGUCAGAGUUGUACUUUAUAUGUGGUGAAAUGCACAGGUCUUUAAAGUAUGUAGUUCAACAAACGUAGACAAAUACACAAGUCCAUAUAAAUGACACCUCUAGUAAAAUCUAGAACAUUUCCAUUAUCAUAGGAAGUUGUCUGUACUUUCCAAACAAAAUCAUUCCCUACCAAUAUUUGACUUUCCAUUACCAAGAGUUACUUUUGUAUGUUUUUGAAUUUGUAUCGCUAAAGUCAUACAUUAUACAAUUAUGCAUGUUCAUGUCCAGCUUCUUUAACUCAACAUUUUUUGUUGUUGUUGUUGCUGCACCGGGGGCAUGUGGAGGUUCCUGGCCCAAAGCUGCUGCAGUGACAAUGCCAGAUCCUUAACCCACUGCACCACAAGAGAACUCCUUCACUCAACAUUUUUGAGAUUCAUUUCUGCUAUUGGCCACAUCAAAAAUCCAUUCCUUUGUAUCCUGGAGAAAUGUUCUAUAUAAUAUAUGCACAUACCAUAAUUUGCUUACUCCUUCUCUAAUUGGUGAAUACUUGAGUUAUUUCUAUUUGGAAAGAGGGGGCUCUUAUGAAUAAAACUGCUAUGAGCAUUCUUAUAUAAUUCUUUUUGUGGACACAUGUUUUUAUUUCUCUUGGAUAAAUACCUAGGACUGAAACUGAUGGACAAGUAUAUAUGUUUAACUUUACCUGCCAAAUUAUGUUCCUAAUUGGAUGCACCAUUUAUGUCUCCACCAGCAAUGUAUGAGAGUUCUGGUUGCUUUAAAUCCUCACCAUCAUUUAGUAUUGCUAGUUAAAGUUAUACAUUUUAACCUAAAGACAAGACAAUUUGAGAGAGAAAGCAUUCAAAAUUAAAGCUGUGCACAAACAUUCACAUUGCACUGGUAGGAGUCAAAGCAUUAUUACAAGGUAUAAAUGUAGAGCCAUGCCCUCCAAAAUUAGUAUUCAUCAUACAACAAAAUGAAUUUCAUUGGCAUUCAUCCUUCCUUCCUUUGAUAAAUCAGUGUAUAUAUUCCCAUUACCUCAAUGAAAUAUCAUGAAUUGAUUUUAGCUUGCUAAAAUGAGUAUUACCUCGUAGAAUGCUGAUACUAUAAGUGCCUCUGGAAUUAAUAUUGAGCCUAGAAAUACCCAUCAUUGUCUCCAUAUUUGUUGUGCUCAAUGUCUUAGAUUUUGCAAGUCUGGAGACCUGGAAAAUGAAGAGACAAGCAUCUCCUCAAUGUGGAAUGAUUAUGAAAGAAUUUACCCUUGUUGCACUCGAGCUUUCCUUUUUGAGACUGGAUAGGAUGUUAAAGAAGGGAGGGGAGAGGAAGAGAGGGGGUGAGGAGAGAAAGAGAGAAAGAGGGAUGGAGAUUAAUCUGGGAUUCAUGGCACUCUAGGGAAUCUAUGUGGGGCAGCUUGCACCUUGCUUCUUUCUGGAUGGGUCUGCGAAGAAAGGCUUGGCUUGAUCUCUGCAAUUAACUGCGCUGGCUGAGUGAGUCCAGCUGCUGUGAACCUCUGCUACUGGAAACAGCUCUUGAGUGUGUAACCAGCAGGCAUAACUUUAUUACUUCGUAUGAUUUUAGUAAAACAUUCUUUGCAAAGCAUUUUUUAUGAACAGAAUAGACUUAACUCCGGCAGCCCAAGGUGGAUGAAGCUGUUGAUACUUAUUAGGAAGAAGAAAAAGCAUUGAGUUCUCUCUCCACUUUGAUAAUAAAAGACAGUCGUCCUGCCACAACGAUUUUGUGGCAAUAAAGUUGAAUGCCUAAAUGUACAUUGGAGAGCACUCUCAGGUAGGGUUUAUGAACCAUGACUAACCUUGUCUCUGUGCCUUUUAGCACAUCUUCCCAGAAUGACCCAAUGUGCAUGCCGCCCCAGCUUAAUCUGGAAUUAACCUUCACGAUGCCACUUCCUGUGUGGCGCCUGCCUCUGAGUGGUGUCGUUGUCACACAGUGAUUUGGUUCACUAGUUCACGGUGUUGAUUUGGACAAGUUACCACUAAUGUGUCUAUGCUUCCGUAUCCUCCACUGUGAAGGAGAAAUGACCCCGUUAACAGCAUGCUUCCCUGAAGUGCUGUGAUGGACAGCCAAUACAAUUAUUGUGGAGGAGCAUUUUACCUGAU
rnacentral:lncRNA from 1 species